AUUAUUAUUUUUAUAGUUUGUAGUUUACGUUUUUGUUUUGUGAUUAUGGGGAAGCGCAAGUAUAGCCGAUCUAAGGAUAAAAACGUUUCGAAAUAUCGUUCUUGUAGUCCUCUACCAGCAGUUCGCGAUCUAGAAGUAUUUCGAAUAACUCGGAAUUACUGGUUCAAUGGAAGCUUAUUGACAUCCUUAUAGACAGCGGUCCGUUAUAUGUGUCGCUUAUUUCAUCCUCCGUGGUUAGUCAUUUAGCAUGUAUUAAAAGUCCGACACGGACAUAUUAUCACGUGAGUAUUUUCUUAUGUUACCCUCUUAAUUGAAUUUGAAGAAAUUGCUCUUGAUUGUUGAUUUAUUAGUUGAACCUAGUGAAAGUAUGAACGCACCUAUUAUAAUAGGUACAAAUGUCUUCAACCACAAAGGUACGUGCAAUGUAUUCAACCACAAACGUACGUGCGUACAAAAUAUUUCCAGCGUUUGUGUUGUAGUCCUGCCCCUGCAAAAGUUUCAAUUGUAAAAGCGAAGGAUCAUUUUAUCAAAACUGUAUUGGUUGGUAAAGAUUAUAAAAGAACGAAAAUUUAAAAUAAUUUUCAAAAUUUAUGAUUGUUGUAUUCGCUACUUCAAUUUAACAAUUGAAAGUUCUAACGAACUCCUUGGAGAAAGAAUGGAUACCUGACGAGUGUGCUGCAUUCUUUGCGAGUAAACAAACUGAUGAAUUAAUUUAAUCCCUAAAGUAUAGGUGAUGUUCUGCAAGUACAUCUGGCCAAAAUAUUUCUAUUGAUAGUGACUCAAAUAAUGUGUGUGUAACUGCAGUGUUGGCUGAGAAGCUCACUGAAGAAGAUUCGACAAUUAUUGCAGUUGGAGAUACCUCCGCCGCCGAUCAUGUGAACGUGGAUGAUGUUUGCAUGACAUACAUAAGAGCGGAGGGUUUGGAGGAACCACAGACCUCUACAUUUUUCGAAAAUGUGUACGACAAAUCUUCUUAUGACUUGGAAAACUUCACGAACAAAAUAUUAAGUGAUCACGGAAAGCGUCAAAUUCUUGAUAUGGGGCCUUUACAGCCUUCAGGACCUUUUCCAACAGACAUCAACCAGAACAAUAGGUGUUUUUCAAAAUUGUACUACGUUUCGUGUUCUAAAUGUGGGCCAGUUAAUUGUUUUUGGUUGUGUUAUUCCAAAAUACUAGACGCUGCCUAUUGUCAACCCUGCUGGUUAUUUGCUUCACAAAGGAAUAAUGUUUGGUGUACGGGAAUUCGAGAUUGGAAGCAUUUAUCAGAAAGAAUUAAACAACACAGUUGUUCGAGUGGCCAUUCGGAAGCAUUUGCUGUGUAUGAAUUUUGGAAAAAAACGAUACUAAUACUAUCGACAAGGAACUUGAAAAUUAAAUUCGCAAAGAAGCAUCAUUUAAGAAAAUGGUUCUUCAAAGGUUAUUCGAUAUAAUACUUACCCUAGCAAAGAGUUCUUUGGCUUUGAGAGGACAUCAAAAAGACUUAAGUCAGGAAGGAUACCACCGAAAUUUUCUGUCAUUUGCCCUACAAAGAUAGUAAAGCUAGGAAAAAAUUGUAAAUAUAAUUGUUAUUUAGUCAGUUGGUAGGCCCGACCUUUAUAUAAUAAACCCUUGAAUCUU